rnacentral:rRNA from 1 species
CCGCAGCGAAAGCGAGUCUGAAUAGGGCGAUAUAGUAGGUGGUCGUAGACCCGAAACCGUGUGAUCUACCCAUGUCCAGGGUGAAGGUCAGGUAACACUGACUGGAGGCCCGAACCCACGCACGUUGAAAAGUGCGGGGAUGAGGUGUGGGUAGGGGUGAAAUGCCAAUCGAACACGGAGAUAGCUGGUUCUCUCCGAAAUAGCUUUAGGGCUAGCCUCAAAGGAUGAUGGUUGGAGGUAGAGCACUGAUUGGACU